GUGUAGAGCAGACUACAGCGAUUUGCCGUAUUAUUUUGGAACUACUGAAACAGCAAGACAUAUGAGAAGUAUUUUGUAUUCAUUAUCAAUUAUUGCUUCUGUUGUGCAAAAUGGAUGUGGACAUGGGAAAACUGAGGUUGAGGUCAAUUUGUAGGAGUCAGUGUGGGCCCGUGGUUAAAGGGGAUUGUGAGGUUUGAUGGAUUCAACUCGUUGCGUGUUAUUCUCCGUGUGUGCAAGUUUGUAGAAAGUUGCACUUGCGUUUCCAGAAGAAGGCACGCUCACUGCAAUUCUGUGAUGUGUUUAGUCCAUGGAAGAGAUCUUAGUCUGACAGGAUUGUUGGAAUGUGGGCUGAUAUGCUUAGAAAGAAAAGAUUGUAUGAGGUGAUAUCUUGGCUCUUUC